CUCUUCCCCACCUCCCCCUCUCUUUGCUCCUCCGCCCAUUGCUCUCCCUCUCUCUCUCUCUCAUAUCCCAGCUCCUCUUCUCUACCUCCCUCUCUCACAUCUUCAAAUUGUUAUGGUUUAAUGGAGGAUAGAGGAACUAGAUCUGUUUUCUCUCUCCUCCGACACCCACUUCCGGUCACCACUGUGACUCACCUCCACCAUCACGGACCACACCGACCUCCGAAGAGUUUGAAGCAGCCUCCUUGACUUCCGGCAACAAUCCACACGUCGACGCUGCUUACUUCCACUGUCAAGCACCACCUCCCUCCAGUCCAUCCUUCCCUCUUCUCUGUGCCGGCGUCUCUUCCUCAGCCUCUGCCGCUACCUAGGAAAUUGGCCGGCACCGGUGUGAUUUCUGCAUAUACACAAAGGCAAGAGCUGUCGACCAGAUUGAACUUGGAGUGGGAAUCAGUCAAGGAAAAGGCAAAAGGAGAAUCAGGAACGAAUGAACUUGGUAGGCAGCAUUUUUGGGGUUUUGCACCACUAGGCUUCUUAGUGAUGCUGUUGUUGAAGUUGGAGAAAUGUCAUUCCAUCUUCACAAGUUUCAUUUGCUCUUACUCUCUUAGUGAUGAGAACUAUUCUUGGACAAGGGGGAAAAUCUUAGUGAUAUUCCACCUUCAAUAACAAUGUAUUCCGGAAAAUAGCCUUAUUUUUUUGUAAUCCAAGAAUUUACCUUGGUAUGAAAUGUAAAGAAUAUCUUGCUAUGAAUGUAAAGUUUUAAUAUUUUCGAUUGA